CCUACGGGUGGCAGCAGUGAGGAAUAUUGGUCAAUGGCCGGAAGGCUGAACCAGCCAAGCCGCGUGAAGGACGAAGGUGCCAAGCAUUGUAAACUUCUUUUGUCAAGGGACAAAAUCAGGCUCGAGAGCCUGACCGAGGGUACUUGAAGAAAAAGCAUCGGCUAACUCCGUGCCAGCAGCCGCGGUAAUACGGAGGAUGCGAGCGUUAUCAGGAUUUAUUGGGUUAAACGGGUGCGUAGGAGGCCUGUUAAGUCAGCGGUAAAAGCCCGGGGCUAAACCCCGGCGAGCCGAUGAAACUGGCUGUCUUGAGAUGUCGAGAGGUAUGCGGAAUGCGCAGUGUAGCGGUGAAAUGCUUAGAUAUUACGCAGAACUCCGAUUGCGAAGGCAGCAUACCGGCGCCCGACUGACGCUGAGGCACGAAAGCGUGGGUAUCGAACAGGAUUAGAUACCCGGGUAGUC
rnacentral:rRNA from 1 species